rnacentral:lncRNA from 1 species
AAUGAAUAGGCUCUUUCCCUUCUAAAUAGCCUCUAUAAAGUUACCUAUUGACUAGAAAUAACUGUGUGCAUAUCAGGGUAUUGACCAGGUUGGAUCACCUGCCAAAAUUAGACUGGGGCUCACGGGGUUAGAUCUGUGAAGGGCAAUUUACAAAUCUUAACUUUCCCACCUUGAGUCCUUGCAAGUCACCAGAGUGAAGAGUAGCUUGAUUCGAAGGGUACAGGUAUUUCCCCUGCUUCAGUGCGUGUGUAAGGGCAAACUCUUCCUUUCUCUCAGCCCCGGAGGAGUUGCCUGGCACAUUGUUGCCGAGCUCCAUCCCUGCUUUGUACACACUGGCACAGGAUGUUGAAUUAGUACUGCAAGACUCACCACUCUCACCUCCUCACAGCAAUUCUGUGUGAUCCUGACCUAACUACAGGGUCCCGGUGACAGCACAAGGUAAAACAAUAUGCCAGCCCUGACUGUGGUAGCUUGAUUCCUAGGCAGAGUUUCACCAUGGUGAUACUUGCUGAAAAACAGCAAAUCCCUGCCAUUUAUGCUUUUAAAUUAAUGCUAACACUUGAGCAGAUAGUGCUGUGAUGUGUAUCCUGAGUGCUCACUGAGUCUGAAUGACACGACAGUAAAAUCCUAACCAAAGUACAAAAAGGUUACUGCAAUUCUCUUAUAGCUGGAGGCUGACCAGUUUUCUUGAGUUCCUCCUUGUUUCUUCUGUUGCUCUUGUAUUUGUGCAAUUCUCAUCACAAAGCUGCUAGUGGCUGUUUUAUGGUGGCUGAAUUGUUAGCACCAUUAUUUGUACUUCAUCUCAGGGAUCCAGAGAAGUGUGUGCUUGGUGCCAGCUUUUCUUUUUUUUUUUUUCUUCCCACUCCUGUUGGUUCAUGUGGGUUGCUUCACCCUUGCUUACAAGCCUGCCCACCAAUGUGUGUUAUGCUGAUAUGGUGCACAGCAGGAGCUGAAGGGGCUGACAGGGCUAAGAAAACAAGAAGCCGCCAGGCUGCGCUGAAAACAGAGUCUGAGCCAACAGAACAAUUUUAUUGUUUGGGAACAGAACAUCAACAAAUGUAAAUGGUUGCCACCUUGUAUGGGUGAGUCAUGUGCUCUUGGUUCUAACUGUGAACAAAGUCAAAAAUAAAUUGGUUUUGGCAGUCA